rnacentral:tRNA from 1 species
UGUCAAGAUAGUUAAAUUAAUAACAUAACACUGAAACUGUUAAAGUAAGCCCAAUUUUCUUGGC